rnacentral:rRNA from 1 species
GACGAACGCUGGCGGCGUGCUUAACACAUGCAAGUCGAACGCUGAAGCUCAGCUUUUGUUGGGUGGAUGAGUGGCGAACGGGUGAGUAACACGUGAGUAACCUGCCCCCUUCUUUGGGGUAACGCCCGGAAACGGGUGCUAAUACUGGAUAUUCACUGGUCUUCGCAUGGGGGUUGGUGGAAAGGGUUUUUCUGGUGGGGGAUGGGCUCGCGGCCUAUCAGCUUGUUGGUGGGGUGAUGGCCUACCAAGGCUUUGACGGGUAGCCGGCCUGAGAGGGUGACCGGUCACAUUGGGACUGAGAUACGGCCCAGACUCCUACGGGAGGCAGCAGUGGGGAAUAUUGCACAAUGGGCGCAGGCCUGAUGCAGCGACGCCGCGUGAGGGAUGGAGGCCUUCGGGUUGUGAACCUCUUUCGCUCAUGGUCAAGCCGCAACAAUGGUUGUGGUGAGGGUAGUGGGUAAAGAAGCGCCGGCUAACUACGUG